AGGACAAACGCUGGCGGCGUGCCUAAGACAUGCAAGUCGAACGGGGGGCUUUGGCCCCUAGUGGCGGACGGGUGAGGAACGCGUGGAGAACCUGCCCCGGGGUGGGGGAUACCCGCCAGAAAUGGCGGUUAAGACCGCAUACGAAUGUCUCGUGCAGGCGAGAUCGGGAAAGCAGCGAUGUGCCCUGGGAGGGCUCCGCGUCGGAUUAGCUAGUUGGUGGGGUAAUGGCCUACCAAGGCGGUGAUCGGUAGCUGGUCUGAGAGGAUGGUCAGCCACACUGGGACUGCGAACGGCCCAGACUCCUACGGGAGGCAGCAGUUAGGAAUUUUCGGCAAAUGGACGAAAGUCUGACCGAGCGACGCCGCGUGGAGGAUGACGCCUUUCGGGGUGUAAACUCCUUUUCUGCGGGAAGAUAAUGACGUACCGCAGGAAUAAGCACCGGCUAACUACGUGCCAGCAGCCGC
rnacentral:rRNA from 1 species